GCAAAGUUGGAUAUUGCGUUUGGAACACACCACACGAAAAUGAUGCUGCUGCUCUAUGAAGAAGGCCUCCGGGUUGUCAUACACACCUCCAACCUCAUCCAUGCUGACUGGCACCAGAAAACUCAAGGCCAUUUUGUACAUCUCUGCCUGUGCUAGAGAAGAGCUGGUUAACAAACAGCCUUCUGUGUUGGGAGAAACUCGGACGUUUGUCUAGCACCAUUUCCAGAACUCACCUGUGAGUGAAUCUCUGAUCCAGGAGGAGCCUCACUCAGCCUGGGAACUUUGAGGUGCUAUUGCAAGGGGAGGUCCUCCACGUCU
rnacentral:lncRNA from 1 species